UAUCUGUGUGGUUGUAUAUAAAUAUUCUUGUCAUAGUAUUUCUUUACAACUAACAUAUAUUUUUUCUUAGUGAUAAUUUGAAAGAGUUUAGAAUCAAGGAUGAGUGAUCCACCAAAGUAUGCACAUCCCUACCCUGCUCAAGGUUAUUAUCAAGGUCCUCCAGUGAUGCCUCCACCACCUCAAUAUUAUUAUGCAGCUCCUCCUCCAAGAAGGGAACCUGGCUUUCUUGAGGGAUGUCUGGCAGCUUUGUGUUGCUGUCUCCUGAUUGAUGAGUGUUGCUGUGACCCUUCUAUCCUCUUCAUCUGUUGAUAAAAUAUUUUAUUUCUCUCGGAUAUAUAACACUAGUAGUAUUGUAUUUGUAUUAUUAGAUAGAUCUCUCAGAAUGUUACUCUUUGUUCGUUGCUUCAAAAUUGAUUUUCUCGGACUUUUAUUAUAUUUGAA